AGGUAAUAGAUACCCCGGUAGUCCACGCCCUAAACGAUGCACACUAGACCGGAGCGGCUCUGACGUCGUUCUGGUCGUAGAGAAAAAUUGAUAAGUGUGCCGCCUGGGGAGUACGGUCGCAAGGCUAAAACUCAAAGGAAUUGACGGGGGCUCACACAAGCGGUGGAGCAUGUUGCUUAAUUCGAAGCAACGCGAAGAACCUUACCUGGGUUUGACAUGCUUGGAUUAACUCCUGGAAACAGGAGCCACGCUCGCAAGAGUGGAACAAGCACAGGUGCUGCAUGGCUGUCGUCAGCUCGUGCUGUGAAGUGUCGGGUUAAGUCCCUUAACGAGCGCAACCCUUGUCGUUAGUUGCUAACAGGUAAUGCUGAGGACUCUAACGAGACUGCCGGUGUCAAACCGGAGGAAGGUGGGGAUGACGUCAAGUCCUCAUGGCCCUUACAUCCAGGGUUGCAAACGUGCUACAAUGGUGCGUACAGAGCGACGCAAGGCCGCAAGGCGGAGCAAAUCGCAAAAAACGCACCCACGUUCGGA
rnacentral:rRNA from 1 species